CCUACGGGUGGCAGCAGUAGGGAAUCUUGCUCAAUGGGCGAAACCCUGACGCAGCAACGCCGCGUGGAUGAUACACCCUUUCGGAUUGUAAACUCCUUUUGUUAGAGAGGAUCUUGACGGUACCUACCGAGUAAGCACCGGCUAACUCCGUGCCAGCAGCCGCGGUAAUACGGGGGGUGCAAGCGUUGUCCGGAAUCAUUGGGCGUAAAGAGUUCGUAGGCGGGAUGGAAAGUCUGAUGUUAAAGGCAUGGGCUCAACAUCAGUACGGCACUGGAUACUGGCGAGCUAGAGUGCGGUAGAGGUAAGGGGAAUUCUUGGUGUAGCGGUGAAAUGCGUAGAGAUCAGGAGGAACA
rnacentral:rRNA from 1 species